rnacentral:rRNA from 1 species
UGCAUUUAGGUGCAGCCUCAGAUGUUAGCUAAUGGAGGUAGGGCUCUGGAUGGACUAGGUGAGAUAGAAUCUUGCCAACUCCAACCAAACGACGAAUGCCAUUAGCCAAAAUCUGGGAGUGAGACUAUGGGGGAUAAGCUCCGUAGUCGAGAGGGAAACAGCCCAGACCAUCAGCUAAGGUCCCCAAGAACGGACUAAGUGGGCAAGGAAGUAGGAUUGCCCAGACAGCCAGGAGGUUGGCUUAGAAGCAGCCAUCCUUUAAAGAAUGCGUAAUAGCUCGCUGGUUUAGUGGUGCUGCGCCGACAAUCCAACGGGGCUAAAGUCCGUCACCGAAGCUAUGGCUUCCUGAUUCUAUCAGGGAGGGUAGGGGAGCGUUCUCUUAGCCGUGAAGCUAUUAUGAAAAUAGUAGUGGAGUUAAGAGAAGUGAGAAUGCCGGCAUGAGUAACGUAAGGUGUGCGAGAAACACACCCACCGAAUACCUGAGGUUUCCUACGGAAGGUUAAUCCGCGUAGGGUUAGUCGGGCCUAAGCCGAGGCCGAAAGGCGUAGGCGAUGGACAACGGGUUAUUAUUCCCGUACUGCUUCUAUUGAGGUAAAGGGGGGACACGGUAGGGUAGGCUGGGCAUGCCUAACGGACAUGGUGUGUCCCUUAUCAAAGGUGAUGCUGGGGCAGGUAAAUCCACCCCGGAUAUUGUAGCUGAAGGUGAGGGGAAGCUGAGGGGAGACCCAAAGCGAUUUAGCUAAUCCCAUGCCGUCAAGAAAAGCCUCGUUGCCGGUGAAGUAG